UCCCUCGCUCACUUGCACGCCGUCCCCAGGCUGGCCGCGCCGCCCAUGGCGAUCGAAGCCGCGCGGCUCUCUCCUUCCCUCGCCGCCGCCGCCUUCCUCGGUCGCCGCUCUCCUCCGACACCCACUUUAUUCCGCCGCCUAUGCCUCCUCCUCCCCCGCCGCUCCCUCCUCGCCAGCGCCAGCACCUCCUCCUCCCCCGCCUCCUUGGGCGGGGACGGCCGCGUCGUCGCCCUCUCCUCGUCGGAGCUCCGCAAGCGCCGUAGCUCGACAUCCUCCACACCCGCGCCCGGAGAGGACGAUAAGCUGCGCUCGCUUCGUCGUCUUUUCGCCCGCC
rnacentral:lncRNA from 1 species